rnacentral:rRNA from 1 species
GACGAACGCUGGCGGCGUGCUUAACACAUGCAAGUCGAACGGAAAGGCCCUGCUUUUGUGGGGUGCUCGAGUGGAGAACGGGUGAGUUACAUGUGAGUACCCUGUCCCUGACUUUGGGAUAACUUAAGGCAACUGGGGCUCAUACCGGCUAGGAGUUCUUGCCGCAUGGUGGGCGCUGGAAAGUUUCGGUGGUUGGGGAUGGAAUCGCGGCCUGUCAGCUUGUUCGUGUGGUAGUGGCUUACCAAGGCCAUGACGGGUAGCCUGCCUGAACGGGUAACCGGCCACAUUAGAACUGAGAUACGACCCGGACUCCAACGGGAGGCGGCAGUGGGGUAUGGUACACAAGAGGCGGAGCGCUGAUGCAGCAACGCCACGUGGGGUGAGACAGCCAUCGGGUUGUGAACCACAUUCGCCUGUGACGAAGCGAUAGUGACGGUAAUGGGUAAAGAAGCACCGGCUAACCCCGUG